CCUACGGGAGGCUGCAGUGGGGAAUAUUGCACAAUGGGGGAAAGCCUGAUGCAGCAACGCCGCGUGAGCGAUGAAGUCCUUCGGGUCGUAAAGCUCUGUCCUCAGGGAAGAUAAUGACGGUACUUGAGGAGGAAGCCCCGGCUAACUACGUGCCAGCAGCCGCGGUAAUACGUAGGGGGCUAGCGUUAUCCGGAAUUACUGGGCGUAAAGGGUGCGUAGGUGGUUCCAUAAGUCAGAGGUGAAAGGCCACGGCUCAACCGGAGGAAUGCUUUGAAACUGGGGAAACUGAGGUGAGGAGAGGACAAGUGAAAUCCCAGGUGUGGCGGGGAAAUGGGUGGAUAUAAGGAGGAACACCGGUGGCGAGGGCGGCUUGCGGGACGGAAACUGACCUUGAGGCUCGAAGGCGUGGGAGCAAACAGGAAUAGAUACCCUUGUAGUC
rnacentral:rRNA from 1 species